UACGGAGGAUCCAAGCGUUAUCCGGAUUUAUUGGGUUUAAAGGGUGCGUAGGCGGCUCAUUAAGUCAGGGGUGAAAGACGGUAGCUUAACUAUCGCAGUGCCUUUGAUACUGAUGAGCUUGAAUGUAGUUGAGGUAGGCGGAAUGUGACAAGUAGCGGUGAAAUGCAUAGAUAUGUCACAGAACACCAAUUGCGAAGGCAGCUUACUAAGCUAUGAUUGACGCUGAGGCACGAAAGCGUGGGGAUCAAACAGG
rnacentral:rRNA from 1 species